rnacentral:rRNA from 1 species
AUACGGAGGGAGCAAGCGUUGUUCGGAAUCACUAGGCGUAAAGCGAGUGUAGGUUGUCAGGUAAGUAGGAUGUGAAAGCCCGGGGCUCAACCCCGGAAUUGCAUUCUAAACUGCCUGACUAGAGUCCCGGAGAGGGAGGUGGAAUUCCGAGUGUAGAGGUGAAAUUCGUAGAUAUCCGGAGGAACACCAGAGGCGAAGGCGACCUCCUGGACGGUGACUGACACUGAGACUCGAAAGCGUGGGGAGCAAACAGGAUUAGAUACCCGUGUAGUCC